UACGUAGGGGGCAAGCGUUGUCCGGAAUUAUUGGGCGUAAAGAGCGCGUAGGCGGUCCGAUAAGUCGGCUGUGAAAGUCAGGGGCUCAACCCUUGAAAGCCGGCCGAUACUGUCGGACUAGAGUCCGGAAGAGGCAAGUGGAAUUCCCGGUGUGAGCGGGUGAAAUGCGCAGAUAUCGGGAGGAACACCAAUGGCGAAGGCAGCUUGCUGGGACGGUACUGACGCUGAGGCGCGAAAGCGUGGGGAGCAAACAGG
rnacentral:rRNA from 1 species